CCUAAAUCGAACUCUCCCUCCUUUGCACCCAAGAUCUACCUCCACCCCAGAUCUACCUCCUUCACAUGCCAAAUUUGGUUCACCUUCGCGUGAUUAGUGGUGGCAAUGAUUCUCCCUCCUUCGCACACCAGAUUGAGAACCAUACCUCACACCAACGUGAAGGCCACAAGCCCGCCCAAAAACCCUAAUCACACCCGUAUCCUUCACUACCGACAUAUUAGGUUUGCAUUUCUCGUGGUAUUUUGCUGCUAAUAACAAGUUUAUACUUAAGUUAGCAUAUAAAUGUGGUGUUGAUAGUUGGUUUUGAAGGUCUCUAUGUUUGAAGACCAUGUGUUUGAUGAAAUGCCUAAAUGAAAAUUAAUCAAGAGCUCAAUUUUGUUUUUCCUAAAUGCCAUGUGUUCGAGUUUUGAAAGGUCAUUUCUUGAAAAACAAUAAUUAGUUUGAUAAUUAUCAUUAAGGUGCAUAUGUCCAAUCUUCUUAAAAUGUUAUUUGUAACAUGUCUUCACAGACAUCUAAGUUACACCAGAAAUGGGCUGCCAAAAAAUAGGGUGUUAUGAGCCGAUUGGAAGUAGCAUACCUGAUGUAUUGAGCAAGAGUGGGGACUCGCUUUGCCCCCGGUGUGACUAUUUGCAGGAAAUGAAAAACCACAUUCUUGUUUCGUGUCUUAGGGCAAAACACUUUACUGGUCCAUCGAUGUGUGGCUCAAAGUACCGUCACUUUGUUUCCUCAUCUAAACUAUAAUUCAGUUCCUCCAUCGCAGCAUUUGUUCUUUCAAGCUUUUCUUCCGAUGAAAUUCUACUUCAGGUAUCAUUAUUGGGUUACAGGAUUGAUACAAAAGAUGAGGUGUAAUUUGAACCCAUCUCUUUCAUAUGCAAGUUCGAUAGAGCCAUUUGCACUGGCGGAUGUGUAGAUGCUCUUAUCAACAACCAUUGCGAUUUUGUACAUAUGAUUGUAUUCACUUUGUGAAGUGGUUCCUAUGCAUAUAUGGAGCAUGAGGAUGAUGGAACAUGUAUAUUCUUUAAAGAAGGGAUUCGCAAAAGGAAAUGUCAUUCCCUACAUAUCCUCAUGAAUAUCAGAAUCCAAAUGCUUCCAGUGAUAUCAUUUCAGAUGAAACAGUCUCAACAUGGAACAUCUUGAUUCACCCAUGUUCGAACAGAAAAAUCUGGACCGUCAAAAAGUUUUAUUGUUAUUGGAUGGCGUAACUUAAUGAAUCCAUAAGAAAUCUCCAUAGGGAUGCUUGUGUGUUCAAAGAUCUAUAAGGCAAGAGAAGAGGGAUUGCUUAUGAAAUGUUACAGUGUGUACAUGGAUGAACAAUCAUAACAAACGAUGACGUUUAGGAACUUUAGUGAUCAAGUAUGAAGAAAAUCUCAUUGGUAGUUCACCAAGAAAAGGUAUAAAAUGGUAGUUAUUUUUACUAUCAUUGGGCAGUAUACGAAAGCUUUGUUUGGUGGACCUACCAACUUAAGGAACAUAUGAUUUCCUCUAAAGAUGAAGUUAUUUAAAUCAAAUCUCGUGGGUUAAGAAAACUUAUGCUGGAGGUUGUUACGUUUGGUUCCAUUUUGUGGGAUGUUGAGAGCUACGCUGGUUCAAGGAUCAAGUUAAGAUGAUGAUAGCGGAGUCUUCAUGAGAGACAUGAUGGAGUGGACGCAUAUGUUGUAUGUGGUCGUGGGAUUGCAUGGCUAGGAUCGAACACUACAUAUGAUAACAAGGUGUUUCGUAUUACAAAGAAGAUGAAGAUGUCUAUUGUUUUAUUAGUAACCGUUGUGAUUGUGUGAUUUAUUUUAUAUUGUAAAUAAAUAACAGUUUUAAGUAAUCAAAUUAAUUUGAUGAACA